UGUGGCCCCAACUACAGCACCAACCACGGCACCAACUACAGCACCAACUGUGGCCCCAACUACAGCACCAACCACAGCCCCUACUGCAGCACCAGCCACGGCACCAACUACAGCACCAACUGCAGCAGCAACUGUGACCCCAACUACAGCAGCAACCUUGGCCCCAACUGUAGCAGCAAAUACGACACCUACUGCAGCAAUUGGAAACCCCCCAGCAACAGUAGUCAGCACAACCACCCAAAGGCCCUUUCCUGGAUUCGCUGCUGCCAUCAUUGUCAUGUGUGGAUUAGCCAUCUUGGCUGCCCCAGUUAUAAUGAUUUUGGCCCUGAAGACCAAAAUGUGUUCAAAGCUGACACAGGCUUGCUCUCUGGAGUCUCCCAUCUAUGAGCUGCAGCAUUAAUACAGAUACGAAUAAGCAGGGCAUCCAAUGCCAGACUGAUGGGAAAGCAAUGAAAAGAAGAAUUAAGAAAACAUGAAUUAUAUAAAUGUUUAUUGAAUACAUUUGAUUUGACAAGAAGAUUUUCACUAUGCUCAUGAAGUUUUUCCAGGAAGAACAGAUUGCAAAUAUGUAUAUAAUGAAGCCCCACCAUAAAGACUAUAUUAUCUGGUAGUUGACCGCCACUGGAGAAAAAUAUUUUUACCUUGAACUUGUAAUGAUUCGUAGGGCUCCCUUCCACUGAGAAAAGUUUUCAUCCCAAAAAUGUUCAUAAGGUUCACACACAUAAUAAAUAACUUUAUUAAACAAGUCACUUUUUUACUUAUCAGAGCUGCAGAUAUCUGAAUGAAGCAAUAUUACUGCACUGUCUGUGUCUAGGUUUGUUAUUGUUGAAAGAUGCUGUCUGAGCUCCAGCUGAGCUGACAAGCUAUGACUGCAACACCCAUGUACAGUACCUGUCUGCACCACACACACACAACACAAGCAGCACCCAUGUACAGUACCUGUAUGUCACACACACACAAGUGCAGCUUUGCUGAGAUGUAGCACAAUUAUUUGGUACAAUGUUUAUCUGUUUGAUGUAUGUGUUUUAACUUGUUACUGUAUUUACUCUGUCAUGCAUAUGAUUAAUAUUGUUGAACACAUUGUGCUUUAUAGCUCAAUGUUAUUGUUUCUAUCUAUGUUUAUUCCGUUUGUAAAUCUUCUAAUUAAAUUAAAGCAUAUAUUUUUGUAUAAA